rnacentral:lncRNA from 1 species
AAGGCCUGAAAACGGAGACGGCCAGGACGUGGGGCUGCGGGAGGGGCCAGCUCCCCGGGGGCGCCUCCCUGCGGAGCAGGAGCGCCCCGGACGCCACCUGAUCUCACUGGGGUCCCGAAAGGGGACCUGCGCCCCCGCCCCCCUUCAAGCGACCCUUUUGAAGACGGGCGGGAAGAAUCUGGCUGCAGAAGCCUGGCUCCGAUGGAGAGCCAGCUGCUUUUUGCAGACAGGCUGGGGCCGUGGGCAGUGAGGAGGGCCGGCAGUUCCAGGGGGAAGACCUUUCCCUCCUGGGAGGUUGCACCUGGCUGCAGGCGCUGCCUGGAGUGGAAGGUGAGGACGCCUGGGUGGCUGAUCUUAAUCCAAAGUCUGCAGCCCUCACCUGCUCAGGAAGCAGGUGAGAUGCUGCACACACACACACACACACCACCCCCCGCCGCCCCGUGCGCCCCCCGCCCCCGAACUGGGAGGAACAUAACCCCCAAGGAGCAGGGUAUGGGGUUCCCUUUCCUUUGGGCCACGCGCUCUUGACCUAGAUAGGGUGACACGCUCCCCCCAACGGGCAUCGUGGCUGCUCCUGGACCAGUAGCGGGUCUCUAAGACGAUGCUAAAAAACGGAGCCCGUGAGGGGACCCUCUCUGGCUUUCAUAUGCUGGCGGACUUUGCAACCUGUGGCGGAGGGGGUCCUGUCUCUGAGACUCCGUGUUUUUGCUCUCGGUUCUCCUUGUGGGGAGACGCAAAUCAUCUGCUGGGUUUCAAGGCCAAACAGAGGUCAAGUGUACACUUCCGUGGCAGGGACUGUCCUCAGCCUUGUACAAUCGAUUUUAGGAUGCAAAUCCCACCGGCCAGGCGAUCCCCACAGCCCAGUCCUCCCACCUUCUUUCUGUCGAGUAAAAAAUACACCACCUGAAAGCUGCCAGUUAAGUCUUAUUUGGGGUGCAAGGAGGACUGAAACCCAGGUGACAGGUCUCAGGGAGCCCUGAGACACUGCUCGCGAGGAGGGGGGGGAAGCUAGGAGUUUUUGCAACAAAGGGCACGUGGUAGGAACCAAAGAUUUACAGGUAAGCAGAUUUUCAGAACACCAUUUUCUAAGGGAAGGUGGAAAAGACGGGGCUUCCUGGAAUCACCCCUUUCCUGAGUUCCUUCAGGGCUCGUUGGUCCACCCCUGGGAGUGGCCGUUCUCAAGGAUGACCUUCGCAGCUGGUAUUUUGCCCCCUACCUACAGCCCAGGAGGCAGCAUUUCUGAGAGCUGGGAAAUAACCCCCCCAAAGAGCAAAGAUAGAAGUCAGAACGGUGAAGGGGGAGGCGCCUGCAGCCAGGCACACAUCUGACCGAAGUAGCUGCUGGUCUCAGGAAGGUCACUGCUCUUCACAGGCAUCCGUCCUCAUUGAAGGACGUCCGUGUUUUUCUAGAUAUGAGGGGAUGCAAGAAUUGGGCUCCUAAAAAUCUAAAAAUAUCUAUCUGAAGACUUGUUCUUCCCGUUUUCCCAGAGGAUGGCGGGCCCCAUGCCUGGUCUCCACCUGGAGCUCAUGUUUUACUCUGUGGAGAGGCUGAUGGCAGGUGCCAAGCUUCAGUUCACAGUGCCAGCCCCUGGCAGCCACGCAUCCUCUUCCUGUCGCCGUAGACUGGCCCGGGAACUGAAACCCAGCAGGGCCCUGUGGGCUCCUGGGCACAAGCCCUUUUGUGUCCCCCAUGUCUUGUUAUUAGGGAAUACGCUUCAGCCUCCAUGGCCUUUCAGGAGUUCCCAAGGGCAGCUUUGAAACAGGUGCUGAUCAGGGAAGGGAGGGGAGGCAGAGACCAAGGAGGGGCCGGCAGGGGACCACACUGCAGCCUGGGGGCUGGUCCUAGUUCCCCCUCAAGGGAUAUCCAUAGCAAUAUCUUUGAGUUCUUCUACAGAAUUAAACCUGUCAACAAAUGGACAUUGUUAAUGAAGCCUUCUUCUUUGCAGAAAGACGACCGGACAGAGCACUGAACACCAGCCUUUGAAAACAAUGCAAGCUUGCCCCUCCCCUGAUGCUUAUCUGCAGCCCUGUUUUUUCACUCCCCAAACUAUAAAACUCUAAAACCGCCUCCCAAUCUCUGCUAAGGGGGUGGCACCCUCUUCGAGGCACUAGACUGCUGCGACCUUCCUUUGCCUGGCAAAGCAAUAAAGCUAUUUUUAUCCCUUCGCCCA